rnacentral:rRNA from 1 species
UGGGGAAUCUUGGACAAUGGGCGAAAGCCUGACCCAGCAACGCCGCGUGAAGGAUGAAGUAUUUCGGUAUGUAAACUUCGUAAGAAUAGGAAGAAUAAAUGACGGUACUAUUUGUAAGGUCCGGCUAACUACGUGCCAGCAGCCGCGGUAAUACGUAGGGACCAAGCGUUGUUCGGAUUUACUGGGCGUAAAGGGCGCGUAGGCGGUUUGUCAAGUCAGUUGUGAAAUCUCCGAGCUUAACUCGGAACGGUCAACUGAUACUGUCAAACUAGAGUACAGAAGGGGCAAUCGGAAUUCUUGGUGUAGCGGUGAAAUGCGUAGAUAUCAAGAGGAACACCUGAGGCGAAGGCGGGUUGCUGGGCUGAUACUGACGCUGAAGCGCGAAAGCUAGGGUAGCAAACGGGAUUAGAUACCCCCGUAGUCCCUGAGCGGGCUGGCAAGGCGCAU